CCAAUCUUCAUAAAUGAAACAAAUUUUGAAAUAAAAAAUUUAUACCCAUUGAUAGGGUUCAAGCAACACCACAACUUGGAGACUUGAUCAAAAGUUAAAUCAUAGUAGCAUACUAACGAACCCAAAACAAGAUGAAAAAGCAAAGGAGAGAGUAAGCCAAACAAGCUCACACUUCAGGGGCAGCAAAACCGAGGCUUUCCGUCAAGAAUUUCGUGAAGAACUCGGACUCCGGGAACUCAAAUUUUGAUCAAGAACAGAAUAUCAGCCUACAAUUCCUACUACUUGCUUUAAAAAUUUUUCUUUUGAUGAUUCAAAAGUCUUUCAACUUGUAAUUUUCCAAAUUCUAAAAAAAAAAAAAUCUCCAGUCUCACCCUUUUUAAAAAAAAAAAAACUUUUCAACCCUUUUUCCCUUGUUUUUUCACUCUUUUCUUUUCUCAUAGAUCUUUUACUCUUCCAAUUUUCUUGCCUGUUUUUUUUGUUUCUAUUCUCCCUGUUUUAUUUUACCUCCCUUUUGGGGUCGAAGGACUCCCUAUUUAUAGGCUAAAUUCGGACUUGAAAGUCCAGAUUUGAAGCCGAAGUUGAGGAAAAACACAAGAAUCAAGAAGAAAAUUUUGAAAUUCAAAUUUGGAUCUCUAAAAUCUUCAACCUUUUCAGACUAUGAUGGCAGUAAUACCAUCAAUUUGGGUCUGUUUCUUCUCAUGCAAAUGGGAUAGGGGUGGCAGCCAUGGCUUCCACGGCAUGACUAGGCUUCCGUUUGGGGGUGGGGUAGGUGAGGAGAGGAGGAGGAAGAGGAGAAAGGGGCAUUAGUUUUCUGCAUUUCACGUGCUUCUGACUCGAAAAGACGUGUCUCUGUUUUU
rnacentral:lncRNA from 1 species